CGAAAGCCUGACGGAGCAAGACCGCGUGAGGGAGGAAGGCUCUAGGGUUGUAAACCUCUUUUAUCAGGGAAGAAGCUCUGACGGUACCUGAGGAAUCAGCAUCGGCUAACUCCGUGCCAGCAGCCGCGGUAAUACGGAGGAUGCAAGCGUUAUCCGAAAUCAUUGGGCGUAAAGCGUCCGCAGGUGGGAGUUCAAGUCGAUUGUCAAAGGCAGUAGCUUAACUACUGAAAGGCAGUGGAAACUGAACAACUAGAGUGCGGUAGGGGUAGAGGGAAUUCCCGGUGUAGCGGUGAAAUGCGUAGAGAUCGGGAAGAACACCAGUGGCGAAAGCGCUCUGCUGGACCGGCACUGACACUGAGGGACGAAAGCUAGGGGAGCG
rnacentral:rRNA from 1 species